ACGAAGGGGGCGAGCGUUGUUCGGAAUUACUGGGCUUAAAGCGUGCGUAGGCGGAUCAGCAAGUUGGGAGUGAAAUCCCAGGGCUUAACCCUGGAAUUGCUUUCAAAACUGCUAGUCUAGAAUCCGGUAGAGGUUAAUGGAAUACCCAGUGUAGAGGUGAAAUUCGCAGAUAUUGGGUGGAACACCAGUGGCGAAGGCGAUUAACUGGGCCGGUAUUGACGCUGAGGUACGAAAGCGUGGGUAGCAAACAGGA
rnacentral:rRNA from 1 species